UGAGGUGUGGCUCAGAGGUAGAACACUCGCCUAGCAUGUGAGGCCCUGGGUUCGAACCUUAGCACCACAU
rnacentral:tRNA from 1 species